AUCCAGCUGACGAGUCCCAAAUAGGACGAAACGAAACUGGAU
rnacentral:hammerhead_ribozyme from 1 species